GGGGUAGGGGUAAAAUCCUGUAAUCCUAGAAAGGAACCCACCGGUGGGCGAAGGGUUCUGACUAGAACGAAUUCGACGUGAGGAACGAAGGCCUGGGGCGCAAACGGGAUUAGAUACCCCGGUAGUCCAGGGGUAAACCUCUGCGGGCUUGGUGUUGGGGGUCCUUAGUGGGCGCCCAGUGCCGGAGAGAAGUUGUUAAGCCUGCUGCUUGGGGAGUAUGUCCGCAAGGAUGAAACUUAAAGGAAUUGGGCGGGGGAGCACCGCAACGGGAGGAGCGUGCGGUUCAAUUGGAUUCAACGCCGGACAACUCACCAGGAGCGACGAUCACAUGAAAGCCAGGCUGAUGACCUUGCUUGAUUCUUCGAGAGGUGGUGCAUGGCCGUCGUCAGUUCGUACCGUAAGGCGUUCUCUUAAGUGAGAUAACGAACGAGACCCUCACCGUUAAUUGCUAGCAUUCUCUCCGGAGGGUGCGCACAUUAACGGGACCGCUGCCGCUAAGACAGAGGAAGGAGAGGUCAACGGUAGGUCCGUAUGCCCCGAAUCUCCUGGGCUACACGCGCGCUACAAAGGUUGGGACAAUGGGUUCCUACAUCGAAAGGUGACGGCAAUCUCGAAACCCAACCGUAGUUCGGAUUGAGGGCUGUAACUCGCCCUCAUGAAGCUGGAUUCCGUAGUAAUCGCUGGUCAACAUCAAGCGGUGAAUAUGCCCCUGCUCC
rnacentral:rRNA from 1 species